GUAGAAUUUAGUGCUAUAAGUGGGUGGAGCAACAUGGGAAGAGAGGUGUUUUCAGUCUGCCCCUGGGUGUUGACUGGCUUUGUGACUGAAUUGUCAGCCAGGAUGGGCUUACUUGUGUAUUUAUUGCAAAGCUGGAGGGGGAUGACUUCACAAAGAUGGGUCAUCUCCCCAGUCAGCCCUUUCUGUAUCCACAAAGCUUAACCCUGCAGAGAAGCCACCGAGGAGCUGCCAUGGGGCACUGGGAACUUUGAACACAGUUUUUCAAGGUAAUAAAUGCCAGCAAGGUCAAAAUCUGGAAACACAUAGCUCCACAUACCAGAGGGAUUGAACUAAUCUGAACCAAGGUAUCAGGACGGAAACCAAGGGCUACUUCAGAAAAUAAAUCACAUGCAUUAAGCCACA